rnacentral:rRNA from 1 species
AUGGACCCAGUUGACGAGCUACUGGAGAAGUUGCAUCUGCAUGAAGAGGAGGAUGAAGGAUUUGUUUGGGAAGAUGUGGCUGAACCACCGCCCCGCGCAAAGUGGUUGGCAAUUGUGAAGGUACAUACCGUCAGAGGUUUUAGCCCUAGUGCUCUUUACGCAGAUAUGCGAUCUGCUUGGGAUCCGGCCAAGGAGGUGAUCUGGAGGCGGGUGGAUGACAACCUGUUCACCGCGCAAUUUGGAUGCCUGGGUGAUUGG